UGGCAACCAGUUUUUAAACACGAUGCCACCGAGAGGAUAGCAGUGGCACCGUGCCAAGCAAGUUCUCUUCUGGUGGCACCGGGGGCCAGAAAAGAGUUGUUCACCACCGAGUGGAAGUUAAGAGCAGGUCCUCGCUUGACAGUACAAGCAACAAAUGAGCUUGUGAGCUUUGGAACAGUGCCCAUUGAACGACUUUGAGCGGGAGUUCAGAGUUUCUUAAGAAGUGCGUCUCCACGUGGUGGUGAUGGCCCCCGUGUGACAACAAAGGAACUGCUUCAGCCGCAAC